GACGAACGCUGGCGGCGUGCUUAACACAUGCAAGUCGAACGUGAUUUUUGUGGAAAGCCCUUCGGGGACGGAAAUGAAAUGAAAGUGGCGAACGGGUGAGUAACACGUGAGCAACCUACCUUACACAGGGGGAUAGCCGUUGGAAACGACGAUUAAUACCGCAUGAGACCACAAAGCCACAUGGCUUAGGGGUAAAAGAUUUAUCGGUGUAAGAUGGGCUCGCGUCUGAUUAGCUAGUUGGAAGGGUAAAGGCCUACCAAGGCAACGAUCAGUAGCCGGUCUGAGAGGAUGAACGGCCACAUUGGAACUGAGACACGGUCCAAACUCCUACGGGAGGCAGCAGUGGGGAAUAUUGCACAAUGGGGGGAACCCUGAUGCAGCGACGCCGCGUGAGCGAAGAAGGUUUUCGAAUCGUAAAGCUCUGUCCUAUGAGAAGAUAAUG
rnacentral:rRNA from 1 species